rnacentral:lncRNA from 1 species
AUUUUAAGUUUGCAUUUUACUUAAGGUGACUCUUGCAUGCUUGAAGGUUUAAUCUAGUGUAAAUAAGUCACCUUUUUUUCACUGAGACAUACAAAAUUCAUAAUCUGUUUCAUAAAUCUUAAUUCUUGGCUCCAUUUCAGGCAGACAGAAUCAGAGACCAUCCAAUGUCCAGCUCUGUGUGCUCAGAAAAAAAAGCACAUCACAAAAGUGUCUGCAAAAUAAAACUCCAAUGAGAAGGGACCCAUCAAGUUUAAAUGGCGGUUUACUGCAGCAUUAUGAGAUAGAGGCUCGCACAUUUGCAGCUCCCAUGGCAGAAAGUGAAACUCUGAACAAUUAGAGCAGCACAGACAUCCUGCCCUAAAGGACUGUCUGUGCUACACAGGGAAGAACACCAGAAGGACAAGCAUCUCUUUGCUGCAGACUGUAUGACAACUACUGACUUUCAAGCACUUGAAAGAAACCUUCUGAAGCAUUUUCUGUUUGCCACCAUCAGAAACAAGGUGCUGAAUUAGAAGCACAAGUGAUCCUGGUCUGAUUCAAAACCCCCUGUAUUUCCAUGGGCAUAAUAAAAGUGUUAUAAUAGCUGUGUAGCA